GAUGAACGCUAGCGGCAGGCCUAACACAUGCAAGUCGAGGGGUAGAGUUCUUCGGGACUUGAGACCGGCGCACGGGUGCGUAACGCGUAUGCAAUCUACCUUAUACAGGGGAAUAGCCCAGAGAAAUUUGGAUUAAUGCCCCAUAGUGUUAUCGAAUCGCAUGGUUUGAUAACUAAGGUUCCAACGGUAUAAGAUGAGCAUGCGUCCCAUUAGUUAGUUGGUAAGGUAACGGCUUACCAAGACAAUGAUGGGUAGGGGUCCUGAGAGGGAGAUCCCCCACACUGGUACUGAGACACGGACCAGACUCCUACGGGGGGCAGCAGUGAGGAAUAUUGGUCAAUGGGCGCAAGCCUGAACCAGCCAUGCCGCGUGCAGGAAGACGGUCCUAUGGAUUGUAAAACUGCUUUUAUACAGGAAGAAACCCUCCACGUGUGGGAGCUUGACGGUACUGUAGGAAUAAAGGAUCGGCUAACUCCGUG
rnacentral:rRNA from 1 species